rnacentral:rRNA from 1 species
UACGGAGGGUGCAAGCGUUAUCCGGCUUCACUGGGUUUCAAGGGUGCGUAGGUGGGCUGGUAAGUCAGUGGUGAAAUCUCCAGGCUUAACUUGGAAACUGCCAUUGAUACUAUCAGUCUUGAAUACCGUGGAGGUCAGCGGAAUAUGUCAUGUAGCGGUGAAAUGCUUAGAUAUGACAUAGAACACCAAUUGCGAAGGCAGCGGGCUACACGAAUAGUGACACUGAUGCACGAAAGCGUGGGGAUCAAACAGG